rnacentral:tRNA from 1 species
GGAGAGGUGCCGGAGUGGUCGAACGGGGCGGUCUCGAAAACCGUUGAGGCUUUACAGGUUCCCAGGGUUCGAAUCCCUGUCUCUCCGCCA